UACGUAGGGUGCAAGCGUUAAUCGGAAUUACUGGGCGUAAAGCGUGCGCAGGCGGUUGUGCAAGACAGAUGUGAAAUCCCCGGGCUUAACCUGGGAAUUGCAUUUGUGACUGUACGGCUAGAGUGUGUCAGAGGGGGGUAGAAUUCCACGUGUAGCAGUGAAAUGCGUAGAGAUGUGGAGGAACACCGAUGGCGAAGGCAGCCCCCCUGGGCUGAGAUUGACGCUCAGGCACGAAAGCGUGGGGAGCAAACAGG
rnacentral:rRNA from 1 species